rnacentral:piRNA from 1 species
CCAAGAUGUCUGGAUAGCGCACUCUGA